UAGGGAAUCUUCCACAAUGGACGCAAGUCUGAUGGAGCAACGCCGCGUGAGUGAAGAAGGUUUUCGGAUCGUAAAGCUCUGUUGUUGGUGAAGAAGGAUAGAGGCAGUAACUGGUCUUUAUUUGACGGUAAUCAACCAGAAAGUCACGGCUAACUACGUGCCAGCAGCCGCGGUAAUACGUAGGUGGCAAGCGUUGUCCGGAUUUAUUGGGCGUAAAGCGAGCGCAGGCGGAAUGAUAAGUCUGAUGUGAAAGCCCACGGCUCAACCGUGGAACUGCAUCGGAAACUGUCAUUCUUGAGUGCAGAAGAGGAGAGUGGAACUCCAUGUGUAGCGGUGGAAUGCGUAGAUAUAUGGAAGAACACCAGUGGCGAAGGCGGCUCUCUGGUCUGCAACUGACGCUGAGGCUCGAAAGCAUGGGUAGCGAACAGGAUUAGAUACCCU
rnacentral:rRNA from 1 species